UGAGUAACCUGCUCUUAACUCUGGGAUAAGCCUGGGAAACUGGGUCUAAUACCGGAUAUGACUCCUCAUCGCAUGGGUGGGGGGUGGAAAGCUUUUUGUGGUUUUGGAUGGACUCGCGGCCUAUCAGCUUGUUGGUGAGGUAAUGGCUCACCAAGGCGACGACGGGUAGCCGGCCUGAGAGGGUGACCGGCCACACUGGGACUGAGACACGGCCCAGACUCCGUACGGGGAGGCAG
rnacentral:rRNA from 1 species